rnacentral:rRNA from 1 species
UACGUAGGGGCAAGCGUUGUCCGGAAUCAUUGGGCGUAAAGAGCGUGUAGGCGGCCCGAUAAGUCCGCCGUGAAAGUCCAGGGCUCAACCCUGGAAUGCCGGUGGAAACUGUCGGGCUGGAGUCCGGAAGAGGCGAGUGGAAUUCCUGGUGUAGCGGUGAAAUGCGCAGAUAUCAGGAGGAACACCAAUGGCGAAGGCAGCUCGCUGGGGACGGUACUGACGCU